rnacentral:sRNA from 1 species
GCCAGGCGUGGUGAUGCACGCCUGUAAUCCCAAUGGUUCAGGAGGCUGAGACAGGAGGAUCAUAAGUUCAAGGCUAGCCUCAGCAACUGAGACCCUGUUUCAA